rnacentral:rRNA from 1 species
CAAGAGCGUAUAUUAAAGUUGUUGCAGUUAAAAAGCUCGUAGUUGGAUUUCUGGUACAAUGCGCCUGGCCCGCGACCGUUAGGUCUGUGAGUGCCGGUGCGCGUUUGCCAUCCUUCUAGAAAACGUUUCUACCCUUCACUGGGCCGGACUCGCGAUCUAGAUCUCUUACUUUGAAAAAAUUAGAGUGUUUAAAGCAGGCUUUUGCUGUGAAUACAUUAGCAUGGAAUAAUAAUCUAGGACUUCGGUUCUAUUUUGUUGGUUUCUAGUACUGAAGUAAUGAUUGAUAGGGAUAGUUGGGGGUGCUAGUAUUGGCCGGCCAGAGGUGAAAUUCUUGGAUUUGUUAAAGACGGACUACUGCGAAAGCAUUUGCCAAGGAUGUUUUCAUUGA